rnacentral:rRNA from 1 species
UACAGAGGGUGCAAGCGUUAAUCGGAAUUACUGGGCGUAAAGCGUGCGUAGACGGUUAUGUAAGUCAGAUGUGAAAGCCCCGGGCUUAACCUGGGAAUGGCAUUUGAGACUGCAUAGCUAGGGUGCGGAAGAGGGAAGCGGAAUUUCCGGUGUAGCGGUGAAAUGCGUAGAUAUCGGAAGGAACACCAGUGGCGAAAGCGGCUUCCUGGUCCAGCACCGACGUUCAGGCACGAAAGCGUGGGGAGCAAGCAGG